CAUGGUCUUAGCUUGCUAAGACUGAUGGCGACCGGCGCACGGGUGCGUAACGCGUAUGCAACUUGCCUCACAGAGGGGGAUAACCCGUCGAAAGACGGACUAAUACCGCGUACACUCCACUUUGGGCAUCCAAAGUAGAGGAAAUGAAAUUCGCUGUGAGAUAGGCAUGCGUCCCAUUAGCUAGUUGGUGAGGUAACGGCUCACCAAGGCGACGAUGGGUAGGGGAACUGAGAGGUUGAACCCCCACACUGGUACUGAGACACGGACCAGACUCCUACGGGAGGCAGCAGUGAGGAAUAUUGGUCAAUGGGCGAGAGCCUGAACCAGCCAAGUCGCGUGAAGGAUGACUGUCUUAUGGAUUGUAAACUUCUUUUAUACGGGAAUAACAAGAGUCACGUGUGACUCCCUGCAUGUACCGUAUGAAUAAGCAUCGGCUAACUCCGUGCCAGCAGCCGCGGUAAUACGGAGGAUGCG
rnacentral:rRNA from 1 species